GCGCUGACAUCGAGAGAGUUUGUCAUUUGUGUUUGAAAACUGUUUUAUGAAGAAUAGGUAUUUCUAAUUUGAAAUAAAUUGAGAAAUUUACAAGUUGAUAAGCGCAUGACCAAAAUAAAACUCGCAUUUAUUUAGACCAGUCUCUUCUGCUGGAGGCAAAAAAGCGAAAACAAAAGAUACGCCACGCCGUAGAUUAUUGUCGCGGCACGAAAACCUAGCGUCUCAGCGCGAAUCGCAGACCCUGCGGCUGCCGCCGACCCGCGUGUCCACAUCGAAUAGCGGCAAUAAAUAGGGUUGGCUCGAGCGCGGCGUGUCGCUUAACGCCCGCCUGUCGUCGCCGUCGCAGAAGUCGUAGGCGCCCGCAGGCAGCCGAUCAGCGUGCUCCCGACGCGCGUUCCAGGGCGCGUUUCACCCAUCAACUUUGACUGAUAUCGCGACAAGAUCGCGUUGGAUGCCGGACGGACUCGCGACGUGUUUCGACGUAUUGAAUGUCGCCGGCGCACGCGGCUGAAGAGACGCGCCGGGCAGUUUCGCCCACGCGACGCACAGCGCGACCGCGACUUCGUGUUUAUCGAUAAAGUCGCGGCCGGGCGUUCAAAAUCACGCCGGCGUGAAAUAAGUGCUGCGAGGCGCUCAGGCUACAAACGACACGGAGUGAUAUUUCACCCGGGUGUCAAUGUGUCAACGGGGGAAUAUAUUCUUAUCAACUUUGCAAAUAUUUGUUCUUAUUUUGCAAUUUCUUUUAAACUUUAGUAUACAUUAAUGAUUAUGUUCACAUAUGCAAAUUAAUUAUACUCAUAACUAGCAAAAACACCGAUUAAAUCAACAAAAAUCAACAUUUUAGUUGAAUUUACUGUCGAAGCAAGAAAUAAAAGUCAUGUAAACAUGCAUAAAUGUACAAAACCAUAAAA